AGUGAAAGACAAAGAAGAAGGAGAGAGUGUGAGAGGUUGGGUAGAGGGAGGAGAACGCAACCGCGGCCUUCGCUGUGCAUGCUGGGUAAUUAGUUGAUCUUGAGUCAACAGCGUGUCGUCGUCGUCCAUUUGUAUGUCGUUUUGGAGUCCAAACCUACGUCUAAAUAAUGGAUUGUAAGAUCUACGUUGGAGACCUGCCGAGAGAUGCGUCCGAGAAGGAAAUUGAACGGGCAUUCUGCUACUACGGCCCGCUGAGGAACGUCUGGGUUGCUCGCAACCCUUCUGGUUUUGCCUUUGUGGAGUUUGAAGAUCCCAGGGAUGCGGAAGAUGCUGUUCGAGCCCUUGAUGGAACAAAUGUUUGCGGCGCCAGGGUCAGAGUGGAACACUCGACCGGGAAAGUUCGUCCGAAACCCUGGAUGAGGGGUGGUCGUGGAUCAUCGAAGACCAGGAGACCAUUCCAUCCUGAAGACAGAUGCUUUGAAUGUGGCGACAGGGGACACUAUGCCUACGACUGCUCUCGGUACAAGCGCACCGGUCGGUCUCGGUACUCAAAGCGGCACUCCAAACCAUUCCUGCUACGUAGAGAUGUGGGACUCAUUUGAGAGCUUCAUUGCACCACAGCUUAAGAUCUCUUCAGCCCACCUUUGAGCUUCUACUAAAUGUUGAUCAUCGUUGAUUUGAAUCCCGCUCUCGUUCGCGGUCCGGAAGGAGUUACUCCCGCAGCUGGAGUCGCAGUCGGAGUCAUAGCCGCUCCCCCCGGAGGGCCAGCAGAAGUCACAGCAGAAAUUAAAACUUUACUAGAACUCAGUCUUAAAUGUAAGUGCUCUCUCUCUCUCUCGCCUUCAACUUCUUCUCGUAUUAUUCUUUCCUGAGCUGCAGUCGAUGGAUUUUACUGUAUUUCUAAUGUCCAAUGUCCUCACUGGCACGAGGAGCUGGUAAGGCCAGGAGUCGCACCUGGCUCCUUUAUUUUUGAGAACGGUUUCUAUGGCUGCAUAGCCAACCACAUCACAGUGUGUACUGCAAUGGUCUUUUUGUUAACCCAAUUAUGUCUGAAAUAAAAUAAAAAACUUUGAA